GGGGAAUAUUGGACAAUGGGCGCAAGCCUGAUCCAGCCAUGCCGCGUGAGUGAUGAAGGCCUUAGGGUUGUAAAGCUCUUUUAACAGGGACGAAGCAAGUGACGGUACCUGUUGAAUAAGCCACGGCUAACUACGUGCCAGCAGCCGCGGUAAUACGUAGGUGGCAAGCGUUAUCCGGAUUUACUGGGUGUAAAGGGCGUGUAGGCGGGACUGCAAGUCAGAUGUGAAAACUAUGGGCUCAACCCAUAGCCUGCAUUUGAAACUGUAGUUCUUGAGUGUCGGAGAGGCAAUCGGAAUUCCGUGUGUAGCGGUGAAAUGCGUAGAUAUACGGAGGAACAUCAGUGGCGAAGGCGACUGCCUGGGCCAACACUGACACUGAGGCACGAAAGCGUGGGGAGCAAACA
rnacentral:rRNA from 1 species